CGGCGGGCGGGGCGGGGGCACGGGGGGAACGCGAAGAACCUUACCUACUCUUGACAUCCAGAGAACUUAGCAGAGAUGCUUUGGUGCCUUCGGGAACUCUGAGACAGGUGCUGCAUGGCUGUCGUCAGCUCGUGUUGUGAAAUGUUGGGUUAAGUCCCGCAACGAGCGCAACCCUUAUCCUUUGUUGCCAGCGGUUAGGCCGGGAACUCAAAGGAGACUGCCAGUGAUAAACUGGAGGAAGGUGGGGAUGACGUCAAGUCAUCAUGGCCCUUACGAGUAGGGCUACACACGUGCUACAAUGGCGCAUACAAAGAGAAGCGACCUCGCGAGAGCAAGCGGACCUCAUAAAGUGCGUCGUAGUCCGGAUUGGAGUCUGCAACUCGACUCCAUGAAGUCGGAAUCGCUAGUAAUCGUGGAUCAGAAUGCCACGGUGAAUACGUUCCCGGGUCUUGUACACACCGA
rnacentral:rRNA from 2 species